UCCUGUGACAGGUGGCCUCGCCCUGAGGAACAGCCCUCCUGUGACAGGUGGCCUCUCUCUGAGGAACUGCCCUCCUGUGACAGGUGGCCUCGCCCUGAGGAACUGCCCUCCUGUGACAGGUGGCCUCGCCCUGAGGAACAGCCCUCCUGUGACACGUGGCCUCGCCCUGAGGAACUGCCCUCCUGUGACACGUGGCCUCGCCCUGAGGAACUGCCCUCCUGUGACAGGUGGCCUCGCUCUGAGGAACUGCCCUCCUGUGACACGUGGCCUCGCUCUGAGGAACUGCCCUCGUGUGACACGUGGCCUCGCCCUGAGGAACUGCCCUCGUGUGACAGGUGGCCUCGCUCUGAGGAACUGCCCUCCUGUGACAGGUGGCCUCACUCUGAGGAACUGCCCUCCUGUGACAGGUGGCCUUGCCCUGAGGAACUGACCUCGUGUGACACAUGGCCUCGCCCUGAGGAACUGCCCUCCUGUGACAGGUGGCCUCGCUCUGAGGAACUGCCCUCCUGUGACAGGUGGCCUCGCCCUGAGGAACUGACCUCCUGUGACACGUGCCCUCGCCUUGAGGAACUGCCCUCCUGUGACAGGUGGCCUCACCCUGAGGAACUGACCUCGUGUGACACAUGGCCUCGCCCUGAGGAACUGCCCUCGUGUGACACGUGGCCUCGCUCUGAGGAACUGCCCUCGUGUGACACGUGGCCUUGCCCUGAGGAACUGCCCUCGUGUGACAGGUGGCCUCGCUCUGAGGAACUGCCCUCGUGUGACACGUGGCCUCACUCUGAGGAACUGCCCUCGUGUGAUAGGUGGCCUCACCCUGAGGAAUUGCCCUCGUGUGACACGUGGUCUCACUCUACACACACACACACACACACACACACACACACACACACGCUCUGCUUCCCACCCCAGGGCUCUUCUCCCCACCUGCGCCGCAGCCCAGCCCUGGGACCCUGGCCUCGUCUCCCUCACGCGCCUGCCCGCAGCCACCAGCCCUGCCCAGAGCGCCCGCUGCCCCACAUCUCCAGCCCUGACCACCCGGCCCCACUCCUGCCCACACGGCACGCUGGACCCUUGUCUCCUUUGGGACCCACGGCCGCCUCACAACAGGCGAUUUCACACAACCGUGCUCGCUGCUCCUGUCCCCUACACACGAGGCAGGAGGGGCGCGGCGGCACGGGUCAGGGGCCUGGGAGUCUCCACCCCAUGCUUUUGCUCCCCUCCAGGCAUCUUCCCACCGACUCACUCUGGAACUUUCUCUGCAAGCUACAGGCUGAAACAACACAGGAGCCACAGGUCCUGCCUAGGAAAUGCCGAGUGGGAGAUAAAGGAGUCGCCAUUACACGAAGGUGUCCCUCCUCGGUGCCCAGACACGGGCUGUUAUUACAGGCAACGGGGACACUUCCCAGGUCCGGCUCUAGCUGACGUCACUGCAGGUGUGGCAGGGACAUCGAGGCAGGAAACACAUGCGGGCACUUCUUUCCCCCACUGACCGCCAGGUGGUUUUCAGACUGGCUCUUCCUGUCCCCGCCUGGCGGCUGGUAAGUGGGGACGCUACGUGCGUUUCUACCCGGAGCUCAAGGGGAGGGAGGGAGGCAGAGUUUGGAGCCAGGGGCAUGUGGGUUUGCGUGGCAGCUUGACCAUGGACCCCAGCAGUGCUGGGGGCGUGUCCCACUGAGUCCCGGCCAGCCAUGUCAGUGGGUGACUCAGCAUGGCACCCUCCACUGGGCUCACGCCCAAUCCUGGCAGAGCCAUGGCUCCCUUCCCCUGGGGAAUCGGCCGUCUCUUCCUUUGCCAUCAGCACCCCAGUUCUCCUCCGGAGAAACAUCCCACCCCACCCCCGGGCCACGUGCAUCCUCACGUCGGAACUGCCCCCACCCGCCCUAGCCCAGGGCAGGUGACUUUGGCCUGGCCCAUGGGUGCACUCUCGUUUUUCUGGCUGCUGUGACUGGCUCUGAGUGGGCCAUGUCACCAAGGACUGGUCACCAUGUCACCAAGGAGUCUCCACCAUGGGAUUUCUACUGGAUUAGCAAAGGGAGGCUCUUUUUUGGUGAAGCUACAGGAAAGGGGCAAGGCUAGAGCUUCGAAGACUCCACUUCCGGAAAAUGAAGCCAGCACGGAGCGGAGCAGGCCCAAGCUCUGGGAGAGGUGGGCUCCACGCCACAGGUUGUUGAAAAGAACUGACUUGGGCCUACGUGCGAAACCCGCCGUCCACAAAAAGGAAACUGGAAUUGCCUCUUGGCUGACACAGCCCACUCCUUCCCUCCCUGGCCCAGGAUGUGUCGAGUCCGCCUGUGGGCUGGUCACUGUCCCCAUCAGACUGCCGUGACUGUCAACCAACCACCUACGCUGCCAGCCAGACUCCGGUCUCCUUCUCAUACGAAAAACAUUAGGACCUUUUUGUCAACGCCCGUCUGCAGUCCCAGCGCACUGGGAGUAAACACUGCCUGGCUCUGACCGGCGCAGGGCUUGGACCCGGAGGGCUUGGAGCUCACUGUCACCUGGUCACAGAGGACACUUCGCCUGGUCCUCUGCCGGCGGUGGCUGCAGAUGCAGCGUGUCUCUAUGAUUCUAUUCCCGAGUCCUUGCCACACUCUGGGCACCUCUCGACCCACAGAAGGAGCCGUGGGCACAGCAGCGGGUCGUCCUCGGUGCGGCUGCUGCCCCUUGACCUUAUGCCACACGGGUGGCUCUUCUCUGUCCUCGUGCCAAACAGACUUCUAAGAGCCAGGUGUGCCCGUGCGUACAUUCUUAGCAGCCCUGGGCCUGUCCUCUGUCGGGCCACCCCCGGCCCUGCUCCUCCCCCCCCACCCGCAGCACACACCCCUGCUUGGUCGGAGGAGAGAGUUCCACACGCGUGUGGCCCCAGCAAGACCCGCCCGGCUCCCCCGCCCGGGGAAGAAGCCCUUCUUUGUCCUUCGUCCUCCUAACAACUGCCUUCCUCAUUUGCAGCGUAGGAAUCCUUC